UACGAAGGGGGCUAGCGUUGCUCGGAAUUAGCGUGGGCGUAAAGCGCACGUAGGCGGCUAUUAGUCGGUGGUGAAAUCCUGGAGCUCAACUCCAGACUGCCUUCGAGUACUGGGAGCUCGAGUCCGGGAGAGGAUGAGUGGUAACUGCGAGUGUAGAGGUGAAAUUCGUAGAUAUUCGCAAAGAACACCAGUGGCGAAGGCGGCUCAACUGGCCCGGUCGUGA
rnacentral:rRNA from 1 species